CCUACGGGAGGCUGCAGUGAGGAAUAUUGGUCAAUGGGCGAGAGCCUGAACCAGCCAAGUCGCGUGAGGGAGUACUGCCCUAUGGGUUGUAAACCUCUUUUGUCGGGGAGCAAAAGCCGGACGUGUCCGGCCGUGAGAGUACCCGAAGAAAAAGCAGCGGCCACCUCCGUGCCAGCAGCCGCGGUAAUACGGAGGAUGCGGGCGUUAUCCGGAUUUAUUGGGGGGAAAGGGUGCGCCGGCGGAUUUUUAAGUCAGCGGUCAAAUCGGCGGGCUCAACCCCAUCCAGCCGUUGAAACUGGGGAUCUGGCGUGUGCGAGAGCUAUGCGGGAUGCGUGGUGUAGCGGUGAAAUGCAUAGAUAUCACGCAGAACCCCGAUUGCGAAGGCAGCAUACCGGUGCACAACUGACGCUCAGGCACGAACGCGUGGGUAUCGAACAGGAUUAGAUACCCUUGUAGUC
rnacentral:rRNA from 1 species